rnacentral:tRNA from 1 species
AAUUAUUUAGUUUAGAAUAAAACACUAUAUUUUCAUUAUAGAAAAAAAUAAGAAUUUAAUAAUUU